rnacentral:tRNA from 1 species
UUUUGCUUAGCUUAUCAACUCAAAGCAUGGCUUUGAAGGUGCCAAGAAAGUAGAAUACUAGCAAAAA